GAUGAACGCUAGCGGCAGGCUUAAUACAUGCAGGUCGAGGGACAGCACAGGUAGCAAUACUGGGUGGUAACCGGCAAACGGGUGCGGAACACGUACACAACCUUCCUUUAAGUGGGGGAUAGCCCAGAGAAAUUUGGAUUAAUACCCCGUAAUAUAGUUGAAUGGCAUCAUUUGAUUAUUAUAGCUACGGCGCUUAAUGAUGGGUGUGCGGCUGAUUAGAUAGUUGGCGGGGUAACGGCCCACCAAGUCUACGAUCAGUAGCUGAUGUGAGAGCAUGAUCAGCCACACGGGCACUGAGACACGGGCCCGACUCCUACGGGAGGCAGCAGUAAGGAAUAUUGGUCAACGGACGCAAGUCUGAACCAGCCAUGCCGCGUGAAGGAUUAAGGUCCUCUGGAUUGUAAACUUCUUUUAUUUGGGACGAAAAAGGGCCUUUCUAGGUCAACUGACGGUACCAGAUGAAUAAGCACCGGCUAACUCCGUGCCAGCCGCCGCAGUAACAC
rnacentral:rRNA from 1 species